rnacentral:tRNA from 2 species
CGGAGUAUGGCGCAAUUUGGUAACGUGCUGCCUAGGGAUGGUGGAGGUCGUAGGACCAAAUUCUGCUGCUCCGA